UCAGUGUGUGUGUUAGUGGAAGCGUCUGGAAAGGCGUGCGAUACAGGGUGACAGCCCCGUACACAAAAAUGCACAUGCUGUGAGCUCGAUGAGUAGGGCGGGACACGUGGUAUCCUGUCUGAAUAUGGGGGGACCAUCCUCCAAGGCUAAAUACUCCUGACUGACCGAUAGUGAACCAGUACCGUGAGGGAAAGGCGAAAAGAACCCCGGCGAGGGGAGUGAAAAAGAACCUGAAACCGUGUACGUACAAGCAGUGGGAGCACGCUUAGGCGUGUGACUGCGUACCUUUUGUAUAAUGGGUCAGCGACUUAUAUUCUGUAGCAAGGUUAACCGAAUAGGGGAGCCGAAGGGAAACCGAGUCUUAACUGGGCGUUAAGUUGCAGGGUAUAGACCCGAAACCCGGUGAUCUAGCCAUGGGCAGGUUGAAGGUUGGGUAACACUAACUGGAGGACCGAACCGACUAAUGUUGAAAAAUUAGCGGAUGACUUGUGGCUGGGGGUGAAAGGCCAAUCAAACCGGGAGAUAGCUGGUUCUCCCCGAAAGCUAUUUAGGUAGCGCCUCGUGAAUUCAUCUCCGGGGGUAGAGCACUGUUUCGGCAAGGGGGUCAUCCCGACUUACCAACCCGAUGCAAACUGCGAAUACCGGAGAAUGUUAUCACGGGAGACACACGGCGGGUGCUAACGUCCGUCGUGAAGAGGGAAACAACCCAGACCGCCAGCUAAGGUCCCAAAGUCAUGGUUAAGUGGGAAACGAUGUGGGAAGGCCCAGACAGCCAGGAUGUUGGCUUAGAAGCAGCCAUCAUUUAAAGAAAGCGUAAUAGCUCACUGGUCGAGUCGGCCUGCGCGGAAGAUGUAACGGGGCUAAACCAUGCAC
rnacentral:rRNA from 1 species